GUGGGGAAUAUUGCACAAUGGGGGAAACCCUGAUGCAGCGACGCCGCGUGAGUGAAGAAGUAUUUCGGUACGUAAAGCUCUAUCAGCAAGGAAGAAAAUGACGGUACUUGACUAAGAAGCCCCGGCUAACUACGUGCCAGCAGCCGCGGUAAUACGUAGGGGGCAAGCGUUAUCCGGAUUUACUGGGUGUAAAGGGAGCGUAGACGGUAUGGUAAGUCAGAUGUGAAAGCCCGGGGCUCAACCCCGGGACUGCAUUUGAAACUAUCAGACUAGAGUGCAGGAGAGGUAAGUGGAAUUCCUAGUGUAGCGGUGAAAUGCGUAGAUAUUAGGAGGAACACCAGUGACGAAGGCGGCUUACUGGACUGUAACUGACGUUGAGGCUCGAAAGCGUGGGGAGCAAACAGGAUUAGAAACCCUGGUAGUCC
rnacentral:rRNA from 1 species